AAUGGAAGGUAAUCGCUGGGAAACUAGAGGAAAGUCCAUGCUAGUACUUGCUGUGAUGCAAGUAGUGAUUAUGUUUGAGGAAACAAUAACUCAAAGCACCAUAAGGUGACGGCGGGAGAAAUCCUAUAAAGUGCCACAGAGACGAGUCGUUUAACGAGUGAAACGGGUAAACCCCAUAAACUAGCAACCCAAAUUUUGGUAGGGGCACGCUUUAAGACUAAUUAAGAAGUUAAAAAGCGCUACAAUUUGUAGAGAUUAAUGAUUACAUUAUACAGAACAUGGCUUAUGCAC
rnacentral:RNase_P_RNA from 1 species